CCCAUCAAUCCAGAGUCCGGACACGCCACGCGCUUGCCUCCUUUUCCCCUCUCCUCACGCACCUUCCCCCUUCUCCACCACCCUCCAGACCAAACUUCCCCGUCCAAGCAAACAAUCGAAAAAAGGGAGGGCGAAUUUCGCGCGCCGACGACCUCCCCCCGCCGCCGUGUUGACAUCACAUGGCCUCGUCGCCCCCGGCGCUCUUGUCCGACUGCCGCCUCCGCUUCUCCGCCGCCUCGCCUAGCACCGUCCGCAGCCUGCAUCAGCCUCCUCCUCCUCCCCC
rnacentral:rRNA from 1 species